rnacentral:rRNA from 1 species
AGUGAACGCUGGCGGUAGGCCUAACACAUGCAAGUCGAACGGCAGCACAGUAAGAGCUUGCUCUUACGGGUGGCGAGUGGCGGACGGGUGAGGAAUACAUCGGAAUCUACUUUUUCGUGGGGGAUAACGUAGGGAAACUUACGCUAAUACCGCAUACGACCUACGGGUGAAAGCAGGGGAUCUUCGGACCUUGCGCGGUUGAAUGAGCCGAUGUCGGAUUAGCUAGUUGGCGGGGUAAAGGCCCACCAAGGCGACGAUCCGUAGCUGGUCUGAGAGGAUGAUCAGCCACACUGGAACUGGGACACGGUCCUGACUCCUACGGGAGGCAGCAGUGGGGAAUAUUGGACAAUGGGCGCAAGCCUGAUCCAGCCAUACCGCGUGGGUGAAGAAGGCCUUCGGGUUGUAAAGCCCUUUUGUUGGGAAAGAAAAGCAGCAGGUUAAUACCCCGCUGUUCUGACGGUACCCAAAGAAUAAGCACCGGCUAACUUCGUG